rnacentral:misc_RNA from 1 species
GCUUGCCAAGCUGGAGAGACCUAAUGAAGAUUCCAGUGCCAGCCUGCCAGGUACAUAGCAGCAUUAGUUUAUUUAGACAGUUAGGAUUAGGAUAUUCUUUUUGUUCUUUUUUUUUUCUUUUCUUUUUUCAACACACAAAUGAGAAAGAAAAAAAUGGUAAGUAACCUUUCCUUUUCUUUCUCAUCUUUGCAUCAUUUCAUCAUAUGGGGUUGUUUAUUAUUUGAGGGGCAAGGCUGUUUUACUUGUAUACUACAUGUAUCCAUUUGUAAAUUACAUAUAUAUG